rnacentral:lncRNA from 7 species
AACAAAGCACUAAUCUCUCUCACUGAAGGACUGACAUGGAAGCACUGCUCAUAAGGUCUGGAAAAAGACUUCUUGAUCAUUCCUGCCUCCAGCUUCCUCUCCCUGUCUGCAGUCAAGGGGUUAUCACAGGCCAGCUGGCAGAGUGGAAAGCACAGCAGAAGAGCUUCUGCUAGGAAUGGUGUGGAUUGGGAGCCAGGAAUCCUUUCUGUCUGAUUCCUGGACUGCUGAAGAACAGCUACACCAACACCCUCACACAGGCGUACUUCCUCACAUUUAUCUUAGGUCAUCACACCUCACUGGAGGCUUCUCUGCUUUAAUGAGCAACUCAGAAACCACAGAGAGGACUGGAGAAUGGAAGUCAUUGGACAUUGUCGUGUUUGAAAACAGCUCCAUAGCAUUCAUAAGAGGAUUCUUGGCACCUGCCUAGUUAAACUGGAUGUCCAAUGUUAUCUCCCCAGAAUUUUAUAAAUCCUUGGGCUGUUACUGCUGCUCCUCUGACAUGGCCCAUCAUCAGAAUACCAGCUCUACUGGCAACUGUGCAGUCUGAAUAAGAAGAAAGAAUCAGGUUUCCACUCACACGUAUGAAAUCACCUUUAAAAUACCCUGGCCCAGCUCUUCUUGCUCUGGAGUAUCCUGAAAUGGCAGAAUCCAUGGGCAAACAGGAGCUCAGAGCGCUAAGGUACCUCCAAGCAGCUAGGCCUUAGUCCUUCACCCUGUGUGUGGCUCCAUCACCAAGGACUUUUCUGCCUACAGGGAGGCUGGGUUGGCACUCAGUUGGCACUCAGAGAACUUCUGGAUGCCAGCAGGCUGGAGCAAGCUCAGAUUAGCUUCAUGACUGCGUAGCCAGCUAGACUUCAGAAGGCUGCAUUACUGCAUGCAAAUAAAUGUGAAACCCCUUCUGAGAUGGAAUUGGAAGCUCAGUGAAUGACCGUAACACAGAAUAUGUAACUCAGAGUGAGAUUCAAGAAACAGUUUGUACAGCCAUGCCAACAGCCCAACCUUACCAUGUAAGGUAUGUGAAGGACAGAAAUAAUUUCCUGAACCCAAAUCUGGUUUCUGGAUUUGUGAAGAAGUCUUUUGACAUCUCUUCUUGAGGAUUGCUCUUCCGAUUCCAGUGACUUGAGCUUUGCUUAGGGAUGGAGAGAGUUCCAUCCUCUAGAUGUAACUGUAUUAUCUUGGCUUUAUGGAGCAGUGAUUAUCAUGGCUCUCUCUGAAUUGCUGAUGGUUCACUACGAGCUGCCCAGCAGCUCAUUCUUGGCUCGUCUCCCUUCUUCCAGCUUUAGAUUUAAUUUCACUAAAGAGAAAGACCUGGGUUUACUUUCUGAGGUAGGCAAUGGCUGUUGUUGCCACCUGAACAUUAAAUGAUCGCUAAUGGCAAGAAAAGAAAACUGCAACAACGUGGCUGGGAGAUCAGAUUGCUCCCUGAGGAAAUGGGCUCCCCAUAAGCUCUAGAUAAUGUGUGCAGGUCUGGGUGAACAUAUUUACACUCAGAGAGGUUUUACACAUUGCCAUUGCAGAGCAGUUCUGUUAACAGACUGCCCAAAGUGGAUGCAAAAGGCUGAUUGUGAGGACGCUGCUUAGUUCAGGCAUGGAAAGCAGCACGUUAUUCACAAGCAUUUACUUUAUUACAGCCAGCGGCUGCCAAGCCAGCUCCUCACGUUGAUGCAGGGAGUAUGACAAUUUUCACGUUGUAAACACUAUGCAUUAAUCAGGGCACCUCGAUAUUAUGCAAACAAAAUCCAUGUACUUACAAAUACUUCCACUGUAUUUGAAUCAAACAUAACGCCAU